CACACACACUCAUACAAACACACACUCUGCAUUAUAUACACACACACACUCAUACAAACACACACUCUGCAUUAUAUACACACACACACUCAUACAAACACACACUCUGCAUUAUGUACACACACACUCAUACAAACACACACUCUGCAUUAUAUACACACACACUCAUACAAACACACACUCUGCAUUAUAUAUACACACACACUCAUACAAACACACACUCUGCAUUAUAUAUACACACACACUCAUACAAACACACACUCUGCAUUAUAUAUACA